rnacentral:misc_RNA from 1 species
GAUGAAGAACGCAGCAAAAUGCGAUACGUAGUGUGAAUUGCAGAAUUCAGUGAAUCAUCGAAUCUUUGAACGCACAUUGCGCCCUUUGGUAUUCCAAAGGGCAUGCCUGUUCGAGCGUCAUUUGUACCCUCAAGCUUUGCUUGGUGUUGGGCGUCUUGUCUCCAGUCCGCUGGAGACUCGCCUUAAAGUCAUUGGCAGCCGGCCUACUGGUUUCGGAGCGCAGCACAAGUCGCACUCUUUUCCAGCCAAGGUCAGUGUCCAACAAGCCUUUUUUCAACUUUUGACCUCGGAUCAGGUAGGGAUACCCGCUGAACUUAAGCAUAUCAAUAAGCGGAGGA